AAUAAAUGUAGUUUUACACUAUUCAUAUAUAAAGUUUAACCAUUCGUCUUAUUUAAAAAUUUUUUACGGUUAAUAUUUUUAUUAUUAUUAGAUUAUAAAACAUGAAUAGUACUUUAUGUGCGACUAAAUUUUUUUAAAUUUUCUUAUAAAUUUUUCAAAUAAAACGGACGGUCAAACGUUGGACACGGAUUUCCGCAACUACACUUAUU
rfam:Oryza rufipogon genomic scaffold, chr02